rnacentral:rRNA from 1 species
AUACAGAGGGUGCGAGCGUUAAUCGGAAUUACUGGGCGUAAAGCGCGCGUAGGCGGCUUAUUAAGUCAGAUGUUAAAUCCCCGGGCUCAACCUGGGAACUGCAUCUGAUACUGGUAAGCUAGAGUUUUGGAGAGGGAAGUAGAAUUUCAGGUGUAGCGGUGAAAUGCAUAGAGAUCUGAAGGAAUACCAGUGGCGAAGGCGACUUCCUGGCCAAAAACUGACGCUGAGGUGCGAAAGCGUGGGUAGCAAACGGGAUUAGAAACCCUAGUAGUCC